GAAUUCCUCAAGAUGGCACAAACUUCUUCAAACUUUUUGACAUUUUCAAUCACAAAAGUAACAGGACGUAAUAGGACCAACCCUUUUGCAGCAACCAUUUCUCAAAUCCAGUUUGAUUUUUCUAGAAUAAAAUCACUAAACAGUUAGAAAAUCAGAGAGACCCAUUACAGAAAAAUAAUUUCUUUUCCAAUUUUUCUUCAUGGCCAUGACAAAAGAAAUGGUAAAAAAAAUGAGGGAGGAGAGGGAGGGAAAGAACGCCCAAAAAAAGGAGAAAAAAAAAAGAGGGUGUAGGCUUUGAAAAAUGAGAUGCGGCAAAAAGAAAAGGAAGGAAAGAAAAAAGAGGUGUAGGAAUUUGCAAACAUGAAAUACGGCAUAAGAAUUUGCAAACAUGAGAUGCGGCUUGGGAAUUUGCAAACAUGAAAUGUGGCGUAGGAAGAAAGAGUGGUGUUUGAUGUGGAGAGUCAUUCAAUGUCUCACGAGGAUACAAUUAGAAAUAUAGAAAAAAAAAGGAGGUGGAGGCUGUUUUCAGUGAUGUACAGGAAGAAUCACUCCAAGAAGAAAUUUGAACCGAUUUAAAUGAAAUGUCAUUUUUACCCUUUUAUAAUUUUAAUAAUUUCAAUUUUCAUAUGAUACAUAAAAUAUUAUAAUCAGUAUUCGAAUCCAGUUUUAGUUUCGUUAUUGAAAUAAAAAUAAGCAUAAAUAAUAA
rnacentral:lncRNA from 1 species